rnacentral:rRNA from 1 species
UACGUAGGAGACGAGCGUUGUCCGGAGUUACUGGGCGUAAAGGGUGCGCAGGUGGCGGCGCGCGUGGGGGGUGAAAUCGCCCGGCUUAACUGGGCGGGGGCCUUCCAGACGGCGUGGCUUGAGCAGCGGAGGGGGACGUGGAAUUCCGGGUGGAGCGGUGAAAUGCGUAGAGAUCCGGAGGAACACCGACGGCGCAGGCAGCCCCCUGGGCCGACACUGACGCUCAGGCACGAAAGCGUGGGGAGCAAACAGG